GUCCACGCCCUAAACUAUGUCAACUGGUUGUCGGGGGAUUGAUUCCCUUGGUAACGAAGCUAACGCGUGAAGUUGACCGCCUUGGUAGUACGGCCGCAAGGUUAAAACUCAAAGGAAUUGACGGGGACCCGCACAAGCGGUGGAUUAUGUGGAUUAAUUCGAUGCAACGCGAAAAACCUUACCUACCCUUGACUUGUAGCGAACCUCGCAGAGAUGUGAGGGUGCCCGAAAGGGAACGCUAACACAGGUGCUGCAUGGCUGUCGU
rnacentral:rRNA from 1 species